AACCUCCGCAAUGUGAGAAAUCGCGACGGGGGGAUCCCAAGUGCCAUUCUUAACGGGAUGGCUUUUCAUUAGUGUAAAAAGCUUUUGGAAUAAGAGCUGGGCAAGACCGGUGCCAGCCGCCGCGGUAACACCGGCAGCUCUAGUGGUAGCAAUUUUUAUUGGGCCUAAAGCGUCCGUAGCCGGUUUAAUAAGUCUCUGGUGAAAUCCUGUAGCUUAACUGUGGGAAUUGCUGGAGAUACUAUUAGACUUGAGACCGGGAGAGGUUAGAGGUACUCCCAGGGUAGAGGUGAAAUUCUGUAAUCCUGGGAGGACCGCCUGUUGCGAAGGCGUCUAACUGGAACGGUUCUGACGGUGAGGGACGAAAGUUAGGGGCGCGAACCGGAUUAGAUACCCGGGUAGUCCUAACUGUAAACGAUGCGGACUUGGUGUUGGGGUGGCUUUGAGCUGCUCCAGUGCCGAAGGGAAGCUGUUAAGUCCGCCGCCUGGGAAGUACGGUCGCAAGGCUGAAACUUAAAGGAAUU
rnacentral:rRNA from 1 species